AGCGGCGGACGGGUGAGUAACGCGUGAGCAAUCUGUCCCAGACAGGGGGAUAACACUUGGAAACAGGUGCUAAUACCGCAUAAGACCACGGAGUCGCAUGACUCUGAGGUAAAAGAUUUAUCGGUUUGGGGUGAGCUCGCGUCCCAUUAGCUAGUUGGUGAGGUAACGGCCCACCAAGGCGACGAUGGGUAGCCGACCUGAGAGGGUGAUCGGCCACAUUGGAACUGAGACACGGUCCAGACUCCUACGGGAGGCAGCAGUGGGGAAUAUUGCGCAAUGGGGGGAACCCUGACGCAGCAACGCCGCGUGAAGGAAGAAGGCCUUCGGGUUGUAAACUUCUGUUCUUAGGGAAGAAGACAGUGACGGUACCUAAGGAGCAAGUCACGGCUAACUACGUGCCAGCAGCCGCGGUAAUACGUAGGUGACAAGCGUUGUCCGGAUUUACUGGGGUGUAAAGGGCGUGUAGGCGGGAUAUCAAGUCAGUCGUGAAAUACCGGGGCUCAACUCCGGGGCUGCGAUUGAAACUGAUAUUCUUGAGUGUCGGAGAGGAAAGCGGAAUUCCUAGUGUAGCGGUGAAAUGCGUAGAUAUUAGGAGGAACACCAGUGGCGAAGGCGGCUUUCUGGACGAUAACUGACGCUGAGGCGCGAAAGUGUGGGGAGCAAACAGGAUUAGAUACCCUGGUAGUCCACACCGUAAACGAUGGAUACUAGGUGUAGGAGGUAUCGACCCCUUCUGUGCCGCAGUUAACACAAUAAGUAUCCCACCUGGGGAGUACGACCGCAAGGUUGAAACUCAAAGGAAUUGACGGGGGCCCGCACAAGCAGUGGAGUAUGUGGUUUAAUUCGAAGCAACGCGAAGAACCUUACCUGGGCUUGACAUCCCGAUGACCGCUCUAGAGAUGGAGUUUCUCUUCGGAGCAUCGGUGACAGGUGGUGCAUGGUUGUCGUCAGCUCGUGUCGUGAGAUGUUGGGUUAAGUCCCGCAACGAGCGCAACCCCUAUUGUCAGUUGCCAUCAUUAAGUUGGGCACUCUGGCGAGACUGCCGGUGAUAAAUCGGAGGAAGGUGGGGACGACGUCAAAUCAUCAUGCCCCUUAUGUCCAGGGCUACACACGUACUACAAUGGCCGAUAACAAAGUGCAGCGAAACCGUGAGGUGGAGCGAAUCACAAAACUCGGUCUCAGUUCAGAUUGCAGGCUGCAACUCGCCUGCAUGAAGGUGGAAUUGCUAGUAAUCGCGAAUCAGAAUGUCGCGGUGAAUACGUUCCCGGGCCUUG
rnacentral:rRNA from 1 species